rfam:Prochlorococcus marinus MED4 complete genome.
GGGCGAUUAGCUCAGCGGUAGAGCGCCUGCCUUACAAGCAGGAUGUCCCUGGUUCGAACCCUGGAUCGCCCA